GCUCCCGUAGCAAAGUGGCAAUGCGUCGUGCUUAUAGCAACGCGAAGGUCGCGAGUUCGAUCCUCGCCGGGAGC
rnacentral:tRNA from 1 species